rnacentral:rRNA from 1 species
AGUGAACGCUGGCGGCGUGCUUAACACAUGCAAGUCGAACGAGAACGGAUUAUAGCUUGCUAUAAUUGUCAGCUAAGUGGCGCACGGGUGAGUAAUGUAUAGGUAAUAUGCCUCUUACUAAGGGAUAACAAAUGGAAACGUUUGCUAAAACCUUAUACUCCUUAUUAACAGAAGUUAAUAAGGGAAAGAUUUAUUGGUAAGAGAUUAGCCUGUAUUGUAUCAGUUAGUUGGUGGGGUAAUGGCUUACCAAGACUAUGACACAUAACUGGUUUGAGAGGAUGAUCAGUCACACUGGAACUGAGACACGGUCCAGACUCCUACGGGAGGCAGCAGUGGGGAAUAUUGCACAAUGGACGAAAGUCUGAUGCAGCAACGCCGCGUGGAGGAUGACACAUUUCGGUGCGUAAACUCUUUUUAUAUGAGAAGAUAAUGACGGUAUUAUAUGAAUAAGCACUGGCUAACUCCGUGCCAGCCGCCGCGGUAA